rnacentral:lncRNA from 1 species
CGGAUAACGUCGAAUACAAUUGUUUCACCUCUGGUUUAAUCUUACCAUAUUCCUUCAAAGCUCUACAGACCUUGCAUUAUCUGACUAAUUUCUUUGAGACUGAAAAACAAAACCAAAAAAUAAAACAGAACACAAAGAUAUACAUGAAAGAUAAUAUAUAUAUAUAUUUGAAUAAAAUUACUUUUGAGAGAGUUGCUUUAACUGACCUACAUUCAAAGAUAUACCAACUGAGAACUGCUUUAAUAUACAUCAAGGAUCUGUUUGUCUUCAUUUGAAGAAAUACAUUGGGACUACCCCAAUUUUCUCAUGAGCAGGCUACACAUAUGAAAUAUAAAUAAAUAAAGUUAAGAAAAACUGCAACCGUUUGAAAACUAGAAUAAAGAAUCAAAACAGGAUAUACAACAAAACAAUCUGACCAACAGUUUGAUCAGACCAGCAAUGGUGUGACUCAGCAAAAUUAUUUGUUUUCCAUAAGUAUAACAAAUAUAAUACUUAGAAACGUCUCUACAAGCCAAUCCAAAUAGACGUGCACAGAAGUUUUACCUGAUCAUCCAGCCCUGGUCUCCGUAGUGACUGUUGAAUAAAUACACACCAACAAUCAGAUCACUCAGAUAAAUGUAAGGUACCUGAUUGCUUUUCAGAAUGUUGGUAUCGUGUAUUCUUAUAUGUUAACAGGGGAUCUUGAUAACCUGAUUCCAUAUUCAACUUUAACCCGUCUUCUUCUAUUUGUUGCAUCCACAACCUCUGAAAAAUUC